CGGGACACGUGGUAUCCUGUCUGAAUAUGGGGGGACCAUCCUCCAAGGCUAAAUACUCCUGACUGACCGAUAGUGAACCAGUACCGUGAGGGAAAGGCGAAAAGAACCCCGGCGAGGGGAGUGAAAAAGAACCUGAAACCGUGUACGUACAAGCAGUGGGAGCACGCUUAGGCGUGUGACUGCGUACCUUUUGUAUAAUGGGUCAGCGACUUAUAUUCUGUAGCAAGGUUAACCGAAUAGGGGAGCCGAAGGGAAACCGAGUCUUAACUGGGCGUUAAGUUGCAGGGUAUAGACCCGAAACCCGGUGAUCUAGCCAUGGGCAGGUUGAAGGUUGGGUAACACUAACUGGAGGACCGAACCGACUAAUGUUGAAAAAUUAGCGGAUGACUUGUGGCUGGGGGUGAAAGGCCAAUCAAACCGGGAGAUAGCUGGUUCUCCCCGAAAGCUAUUUAGGUAGCGCCUCGUGAAUUCAUCUCCGGGGGUAGAGCACUGUUUCGGCAAGGGGGUCAUCCCGACUUACCAACCCGAUGCAAACUGCGAAUACCGGAGAAUGUUAUCACGGGAGACACACGGCGGGUGCUAACGUCCGUCGUGAAGAGGGAAACAACCCAGACCGCCAGCUAAGGUCCCAAAGUCAUGGUUAAGUGGGAAACGAUGUGGGAAGGCCCAGACAGCCAGGAUGUUGGCUUAGAAGCAGCCAUCAUUUAAAGAAAGCGUAAUAGCUCACUGGUCGAGUCGGCCUGCGCGGAAGAUGUAACGGGGCUAAACCAUGCACCGAAGCUGCGGCAGCGACACUAUGUGUUGUUGGGUAGGGGAGCGUUCUGUAAGCCUGCGAAGGUGUGCUGUGAGGCAUGCUGGAGGUAUCAGAAGUGCGAAUGCUGACAUAAGUAACGAUAAAGCGGGUGAAAAGCCCGCUCGCCGGAAGACCAAGGGUUCCUGUCCAACGUUAAUCGGGGCAGGGUGAGUCGACCCCUAAGGCGAGGCCGAAAGGCGUAGUCGAUGGGAAACAGGUUAAUAUUCCUGUACUUGGUGUUACUGCGAAGGGGGGACGGAGAAGGCUAUGUUGGCCGGGCGACGGUUGUCCCGGUUUAAGCGUGUAGGCUGGUUUUCCAGGCAAAUCCGGAAAAUCAAGGCUGAGGCGUGAUGACGAGGCACUACGGUGCUGAAGCAACAAAUGCCCUGCUUCCAGGAAAAGCCUCUAAGCAUCAGGUAACAUCAAAUCGUACCCCAAACCGACACAGGUGGUCAGGUAGAGAAUACCAAGGCGCUUGAGAGAACUCGGGUGAAGGAACUAGGCAAAAUGGUGCCGUAACUUCGGGAGAAGGCACGCUGAUAUGUAGGUGAAGUCCCUCGCGGAUGGAGCUGAAAUCAGUCGAAGAUACCAGCUGGCUGCAACUGUUUAUUAAAAACACAGCACUGUGCAAACACGAAAGUGGACGUAUACGGUGUGACGCCUGCCCGGUGCCGGAAGGUUAAUUGAUGGGGUCAGCGCAAGCGAAGCUCUUGAUCGAAGCCCCGGUAAACGGCGGCCGUAACUAUAACGGUCCUAAGGUAGCGAAAUUCCUUGUCGGGUAAGUUCCGACCUGCACGAAUGGCGUAAUGAUGGCCAGGCUGUCUCCACCCGAGACUCAGUGAAAUUGAACUCGCUGUGAAGAUGCAGUGUACCCGCGGCAAGACGGAAAGACCCCGUGAACCUUUACUAUAGCUUGACACUGAACAUUGAGCCUUGAUGUGUAGGAUAGGUGGGAGGCUUUGAAGUGUGGACGCCAGUCUGCAUGGAGCCGACCUUGAAAUACCACCCUUUAAUGUUUGAUGUUCUAACGUUGACCCGUGAUCCGGGUUGCGGACAGUGUCUGGUGGGUAGUUUGACUGGGGCGGUCUCCUCCUAAAGAGUAACGGAGGAGCACGAAGGUUGGCUAAUCCUGGUCGGACAUCAGGAGGUUAGUGCAAUGGCAUAAGCCAGCUUGACUGCGAGCGUGACGGCGCGAGCAGGUGCGAAAGCAGGUCAUAGUGAUCCGGUGGUUCUGAAUGGAAGGGCCAUCGCUCAACGGAUAAAAGGUACUCCGGGGAUAACAGGCUGAUACCGCCCAAGAGUUCAUAUCGACGGCGGUGUUUGGCACCUCGAUGUCGGCUCAUCACAUCCUGGGGCUGAAGUAGGUCCCAAGGGUAUGGCUGUUCGCCAUUUAAAGUGGUACGCGAGCUGGGUUUAGAACGUCGUGAGACAGUUCGGUCCCUAUCUGCCGUGGGCGCUGGAGAACUGAGGGGGGCUGCUCCUAGUACGAGAGGACCGGAGUGGACGCAUCACUGGUGUUCGGGUUGUCAUGCCAAUGGCACUGCCCGGUAGCUAAAUGCGGAAGAGAUAAGUGCUGAAAGCAUCUAAGCACGAAACUUGCCCCGAGAUGAGUUCUCCCUGACUCCUUGAGAGUCCUGAAGGAACGUUGAAGACGACGACGUUGAUAGGCCGGGUGUGUAAGCGCAGCGAUGCGUUGAGCUAACCGGUACUAAUGAACCGUGAGGCUUAACCUUACAACGCCGAAG
rnacentral:rRNA from 1 species